UACGAAGGGGGCUAGCGUUAUCCGGAUUCACUGGGUUUAAAGGGUGCGUAGGUGGGCAGGUAAGUCAGUGGUGAAAUCUCCGGGCUUAACUCGGAAACUGCCAUUGAUACUAUCUUUCUUGAAUACCGUGGAGGUCAGCGGAAUAUGUCAUGUAGCGGUGAAAUGCUUAGAUAUGACAUAGAACACCAAUUGCGAAGGCAGCUGGCUACACGAAUAUUGACACUGAUGCACGAAAGCGUGGGGAUCAAACAGG
rnacentral:rRNA from 1 species